GGGUGGCUUUCUACCAGAUUUCUCUCUCAGGUCAUUUUCUUCUGGCUGUUACAGUGGGAAGAAGAAGCCAGCUCGGAAGACAGGAUGCAAUUAAAAUCCCAGUGCCUGGUGCUUUCUGCCAGAGAGAUAAACAGUACCUGACCCCAUGUGAUCUGCUGCAUGAAUAGAGAUCAGGAUUUCAUCUUAGAAGCAACUCGAUUUUGGAUGGUUGCUAAGGAGACUAUUGGCAUCUCAGUGUCCUGUGUGCCCUAUUGCUUGGAAAGAAUUACAGCAGCAUCACCGGUUACUCUCCCACAGAGAAAAACCUAAAAACUCAUUCGGGAAGCCAACAUUUUGAGAUUCCACUGGUCUCUUUUAUUGUUUCGAGUGCUGCCGGCCUUGGAGUGUAACUCGUGAGCAUAUUGACAUCUAAAUGGGUAUGCUUUUGGAACUGACAGCGUACCUUCGUUAGAGAAUACAUAGCGGACCAAACUCCGGGGACCAGAGUCCCUGACCUGGAGUUUUUGUCACAAGCCUACUGUGUUAUUUGCGUCUCUGUUUUGUUUUGUUCAGAGAACCCCACCUCCUAACACUCAGAAUCCAGACCAAGAUCCCACCUCAGCCUUCUUUCUAGCAGAGCCAUCAACAAUGUUCUGGUGUUACAUUAAGAAAAGAAAAGAAAA